GGAAUAUUGCACAAUGGGGGGAAACCCUGAUGCAGCAACGCCGCGUGGGUGAAGAAGUAUUUCGGUAUGUAAAGCCCUAUCAGCAGGGAAGAAGAGAGACGGUACCUGACUAAGAAGCCCCGGCUAACUACGUGCCAGCAGCCGCGGUAAUACGUAGGGGGCAAGCGUUAUCCGGAUUUACUGGGUGUAAAGGGAGCGUAGACGGCUUGAGAAGUCUGAAGUGAAAGGCCAAGGCUUAACCAUGGAACUGCUUUGGAAACUAUGAGGCUAGAGUGCUGGAGAGGUAAGCGGAAUUCCUAGUGUAGCGGUGAAAUGCGUAGAUAUUAGGAGGAACACCAGUGGCGAAGGCGGCUUACUGGACAGAAACUGACGUUGAGGCUCGAAAGCGUGGGGAGCAAAC
rnacentral:rRNA from 1 species